ACCAUCAGAUGUCAUAUUUAUGUAUGCUUUCCGGUGUGAUGAUGUAUCUGUUGGUUAUGAGGUGAAGAAAGGAGAUACCGUACCAUAUGCAAGGGUUAAGUUUGAUGAGUUUGAACCAGAAGAUGGUUUCAUCACAUUGUUGGUUUCAUCCAGAAAGCUCCUUUAAGUUUACAGCUUUGCAGAAACACAAGCAGGACAAAGAAUUUGUUUGGCUCAAGAAUCUGCGUAUGUGCAGAUGAAGAUCUUUGCUUCUAUUUUGUUAAGUUGUUUCAUUUUCAAGCUGAUUAAAAACAAAAGUGCAAAGUACAGAAUGAUGCUUAAUCUUCACAUUGAUGGUGAUACAGAGUUGAUCCAUGAUCUAGCAUACUCGUAUUUGGUGCGACUAAACACACGGAAGUGGACUGGAAAAUGGUUCAAGCUAAAAACGGCAUAACUUUCAUUACGUUUGAAGUUAUACGGGGAUAAGUAAUGGACACAAACGCCUCAACGAGCCACAUGAAUGGACAAAUGCUAUAGGCGGGUUUUCUGACUCUCGGCACCCAAUUUCGACACCUAGAGCUCCAAUUUUGAACUCAAGGCUGUUAAUUUCAAGGAACCCUUGGAGCGGUUACAAGUUGCGUCUAGUGGCACUUGUCGUUCAUGGUCCAAGUUACAUACCUUUUAUUGGAACUUAUAACCAAUGAAGAAUUAAUGGAAUUUUGCCUCUAAUGGCGAGUUACCACUAAUGAGGAUUAUGGAAGUAGCCUAUGAUGUCAAGUUACCAUCUGAUGAAGAUUAAAGGAACUUACCACUGAAACAAGUUACCUCUAGUGAAGAUCGAUGAAGUCUCGCUAAUGAAGAAGAGAUAUUACGUGUUAGCCUAUCAUUUGACGAAGACAAUCGGUUGAGAGGAUGUUAUACGUAACUGUCACUUGUCAAUUUCGUACAUCUCAACAAGAUAACAAAAACAUGAGUCCGCAUUGAAUUUAUUAUCACUCGACCCCAUAGCUUAUUGUAUCAAGUAGUUGAGAGUGAAUUCGGUGCAUGAACUUAUGUGUGCAAACUUCAGAGGAAAUUUGCAAGUCGUAGAAUCUUGCAUAGCUAGGAUAUCGUCUUGAAUUUCAAUUGUUAUUUGUGACUAGCU